rnacentral:lncRNA from 1 species
AACAAACCGAACAAACCGAACAAACCGGCCAAACCAAUCGAACAAAGUAUAGUAAUAGUACCAAUUUAAAAAAGUUAAAAAUAGAUAUAAAAAAAAAGGAACGACUUUUAAUAGGAGAAGAAAACGUAUUGAAAGAAGGAUAUAUCGUACAAACACAUCAGAAACAACCUGUAUAUAAUAUUUAUUUCAAAGUAACAAACAUAUAUGCAUAUAUCCAAUGUAAUAAGAAAACACAUAUUCUUAUUUUUCCUUUUUGUUUUUUUUUUACACUCUCAAAAUCAAUGUCGUAUAAAGUAAACCUAAAUGUAAUUUCAUUAAUUGUAGAAUUGGAUAUGUAUGUUUUAAAAAUUUUAAAAAAUAUAUUUUUUUUUCAUAAAAAAAGUAAAAUAAAACAAAUAAAAGAGGAAUAUAAUUAUGUGAAGAAUGGAGAACUAUUGGAAGAUAUUGUGCCUUAUGGAAAAUAUAUUUAUCCGAAUAUUAAAAAUGGUUUGAUGGAAGACAAUAUGUGCAAAAAUGAUCUUAUUAAUAAUUUUUUUUUUAUGAACAAGUCAUACAAAAUGCUUAAACAAUUUAUAUGUGAAAAUGCAAAUAGUAUCAACUUAAAAAGGGAUUUAUAUAAAUGUUUUAAAUACUUAAAUAUAUAUUUUUACAACAGUGAUGAAAUAAAUAAUAAUGACGAAUCUUAUAUAAGUUCAUCUUCAAAAUUCAGUUUGAAAUCUUUUUUUAAUUUGUUAAAAGAUGUGGAAAUUACAUUUAAUUGUACUUAUGUCCUUUUUUUUUUUUUUCUUCAACUCUGAUGGUGGGAACUGUUUGAAUGAUAGAUGCAAGAAUAAAUGUAAGCGGAAAAAAAAAAAAAAUAAUAAAAAAAAAAAAAUUACGAAUACUUUAUGUUAUUUAGAUUUUAAUCAAUAUAAAACAAAAUUUAACGAAGCUAGCCAUAUUCGUAAAAAAAAAGAUCCAAACAAAUCUAUAAACAUAUUUUACCUUAAGUUAAAAUAUGAAAAUAUCAGAUAUAAAACGAUCAUAAAAAAAAGUAAAAACGGGGGAUGUCGUAAAAAAGGGGGAGGUAAAAAAAAUAGAAAAAUCCAAAGUAACAAAUUAUGUUAUAAGUUUUAUAAUACAUUAUAUAUAAACAAUUUUUUGUUAUUUUACCAUUCGAAGUUUGUACCACUAUUUUUCUCCAAUACUACUGUGAAUGGAUUGAACGUGUAUUAUACUUUAGAAAAUACCGUCGUGAGUGAAAAAUGUAUACUAAAAUUAAAGACGUACAACAGUACGAACAACAGUACGAACAACAGUACCAACAACAGCAGUACCAGUUACAGUGAUAACGAUGCAACUUGUAGAGAGAAUGCAAAAAAACAAUGCCUAUAUGAAUCGCCAUAUUCUAUUGUUUUAAGGUUUACCAGUAAAAUAAUUUUUAAUAAUAAUAAAAAAAAAAUAAACUACCAUUUAAAACUUAUUCAAGGUUUAGAUUUUACUUUUGAGAAGUUAAACAUAUAUAUAUAUGACGUUUUUUUUAAUAUUUUAAAACAUUUUUAUUUUUGUUAUUUUUUGAAAAAGGAAAAGGAGAGUUCUGUGUGUAGGGGAGUUAUUGACAAUACAGAAAAUGGCAUAAGAGUGGAAAAUGGCAUAGGAGUGGAAAAUGGCAUAGGAGUGGAAAAUGGCAUAGAAGUGGAAAACCAUACGUGGGACAUCCUCGUAUUAAAAUCAAAGUUUCUAAAAUUAUAUCAGUUAAACAAUACAUUCAGUAAUAACUUAAAAAAACGAUUACUCAAAAUAUUGCUUUAUUUUGUUAUAAAAAAAAUAAACAUAAUUUUUUUGUUUGAGAAUGCACAAAAUAGUUUAGUAGAGUCACAAAGUAAGAAGGGUAAUCAUGAUCAUAGUUCUGAAUAUAUUAAAUAUACAGAAUUGAAAUUUAAAAUAAAAUUUUUUCUCAUAAAUUUAAAAACAAAUUUUGUACAUGUUAAAAUGAAGAAAUAUUUACAUGUUGGUAUGGAAGAAGCAAAACAAAAACAAGAGAUAUGUACAUAUAAUCCAUUGUUGAAAAAAAAAAAAAAAAGUAGUAAUAGUGGUAGUAAUAAUGGUAGUAAUAGUGGUAGUAAUAAUGGUAGUAAUAGUUGUAGUAAUAAUGGUAGUAGUACUGGUAGUAAUAGUGGUAGUAAUACUAGUAGUGGUAACUAUCAGAGUAUACAGACGAACAAACAAAUGUAUAUAAAACACUAUUUAUACAUAAGUAAGUUCUCUUUUAAUGUAUUUAUGUUUGAAUUUAUGAUUGUUAAGGAGGAUUCAGAUGGAAUACGAACAGAAGUAAGACAAAUAAACCGAACGGAAGUAGGAAAAAUAAACCGAACGGAAGUAGGACAAAUAAACCCUGAACCUAUGUUGAAUAUGUUACCACAAAGUAAUACAUACUCAUCAAUCACAUUUAAUAAUAAUGUUAAUAAUCGAAUGAGAAAUAAUGAUAAAAUGAAUCAUUCGAAUGUUAAGAAUGUUCAUGAAGAUGUAGACAUAUAUAAUGAUGUUCGUUUUAAUUCAGGUAAUAAUAAUUUCGAAUCGAGUGUAAAUUUUUCUUCCACAAACAGAAGUACAACAAUGUAUUAUACUACAUCUUCAACAGAUUCUAUUAAAACUAUGUAUACAACAACAACAACAAAACCAGUAUAUAUCAACAAAACUAUACUUUUAAAAAUAGAAAAGAUGUAUUUAAAAAUAUCUGAUUUGUAUAAUAUCGUUUUAUUACUUACUUGUAAUAAAUUAAAAAUAUAUACCUAUACAAAUGUUAUAAAUAAAUUAAACUAUUAUUUCCAAUUAUUACUAAAAAGGGGUGAUACAUUAUGUUCGAGCAGUUGUAUUUUUACAAAUAAAAUAAAAAAGAAAUGUAGUAAGAAAUGUGGAAAAAAAUGUAGUCAAAAAUGUGGAAAAAAAUGUAGUCAGAAAUGUGGAAAAAAAUGUAUAGUAAAAAAUUGUAUGGAAAAAAAUGUUUAAGGAAUUACUCCGAACAGUUUUUUACAAAAGAUUGCAAUAAUAACAUAUACUUGUUUGGUUUGUAUGACAAUAUUAUAAAAAAGUGUUAUAAGUUAGGUUUAACUUGUUCCGAAUAUGACAGUAGUGGAAAUAGUGACAACAUAAAGAGAAAAUGUUUUUAUACGGUAGAAACUACAUCUGCUAUAGUUGACAAAAUUAACAAACUAAAUAAAAUAUAUGAUAAAAAAUUUGAUAAAAAAUAU